CGAAGUACACACGGAGAUACACCGCUCCUACGUGAGCCCCGUCUAUAUCGCCAGGGUCAGUCUGGAUCUGUUCGUUCUUACCUGGAUCCUUUCAGUGCUGGAAGAAGUAUUCAGAUCCUUUACUUGAGUAAGAGCAGUAAUACCACACUGUAGAAAUACUCUGUUGUGGUAUCAUCAGGACAAUGUAGUUGAAGUAUUAAAAGUAAAGAACUUUCCUCCCAUUGUAGAAAGUGUAAAGGAUCCAACCAGUUGUGUGUUUAAUGGUCUAAUCAUCUCAGCUGGACUUGUAAGAUGUGAUAUUGUUUGGCUGGUUUCAUUUAUAAUAAAACAUCAGAUUUUAUAAGCUACAUGUGUUUUGUGUGCAGGAAUCCUAAUGUGUAAAGUACUUAGUAACUGAAGCUGUA